CAUAAUGUAGUCUAUUUAAAGACAAUUGGCUUACAACCUUUAGAAGGACAUCCCCAUUAUUA
rnacentral:tRNA from 1 species